rnacentral:lncRNA from 1 species
AUUCCACACAUUGCCUGGAGUAUGAGGGAAGGAGACGGAACCAAGCUCCAGACUAUACUUUUGAGAUUUCUCAAAAACGAGAGAGAGAUGAGCCCUUCCACAGACAUAAAACGAUUCUCCAGUGAAAACAGAGCCCAUUGGUUCAAACAGGAUCAGGAUCAAAUUUGGAGAAGGUCAAAUACUAAAUCCUUCUGCCAUGUGAGGACACAACAAGAAGUUUGCAACCUGGAAGAGAGCUCUCACAUGACCAUGCUGGCACCCUGAUCUCAGACUUCCAGCCUCCAGAAUUGUGAGCAAUGGAUUUGUGUUGUUUAUAAGCUACUCAGUCUACAGCAUUUUUUAUAGCCACCCAAAUAGACUAAGACAGAAAAUUGGUACCAAGAGUGGAGUUGCUGUUUUAACAAAUAUCUAAGAAUGUAGAAG